CCUAAACCCAAAAAUAGAGCUCCGUUCUUUACGUCAAACAUUCGGCAUUCAAAUCCAUAAGCAGAGGGGCAGAAAUUGGAACGAAACUUUGCACAUCCAGCUCACUCUCUCGUCUUUUGCGUAGCUAGACACCAGUCCAAGCUUCCAAGAGGAAAUUGCCCAAAAUCCCUCAAUCUCUUUCUUUCUCGUCGGUUGUUGUCCGCCAUUGUUGAGCUUCCACCAGACGCCAUUUGCACGCCAACCAGCUGCCAUUUCUGCCUCAGCAGUCAUCCCCAACCAAAUUUGUGACCCUUUGCGCUGCACAUUUUCUUUUCCCUUCGCAAAUGGCUUUCAAAUUCGUGGCUGUGCUCUGUAGCUCACAAACAGCAUAAAAGGAGUGGCUACUGGUUUUGCUGCUAGAGACAUCCUUGGGAAUGUCCUCAGUGGGCUAUCUGUACAGAUCUCACGUCAAAUUUACCACUUAACUGUUGGGGCCUCCACAUCGUUGUCCUAUACAUAUGUCUAAAAAUGAAUGUUCAGUGCAUUUCCAGCAAUCUUCAGCUUGUAGUUCUUGUUCAUUGAAAUUCAAAGCAAUGACAUUCAUCGCAAGAAAUUGCUCCUUGCUUUUGCCCGUGUCAAAUGGCUUAACCUCAGCUCUCUCUCAAGUUCCUCAACAGGAUUAAGAAUCCCUCUUAAUUAGGUUGUUUUAGUUUAACUCCAUUGAGGAGGGUACAUACAUCCAACCCGGCCUUGGUUAAUUUUCUUACUAUGGUAUACUUUUGAAGGUGGUGCAAUACAACUCAACUACCGCAUUCCAGUGUACUUUUUUCUUUAAUUUUUUUUUGUGGUCUUUUAUUGAGCAAGCAUGUUAGUUCCUUCCAAGUAAGAAAUGUCAAAAAAGAUAU